GGGUCUCUCUUGCUAGACCAGAUCUGAGCCUGGGAGCUCUCUGGUCAGGUAGAGAACCCAC
rnacentral:pre_miRNA from 1 species